rnacentral:rRNA from 1 species
CGCGUAUGCGACCUGCCCGUUGCAGGGGGAUAAUCGGGAGAAAUCCCGUCUAAUACCGCGUAACGCCGCGGGGCUGCAUGGCCCUGCGGCCAAAGGAAGCGAUUCCGGCAACGGAUGGGCAUGCGUGACAUUAGCUAGUUGGCGGGGCAACGGCCCACCAAGGCGACGAUGUCUAGGGGUUCUGAGAGGAAGGUCCCCCACACUGGUACUGAGACACGGACCAGACUCCUACGGGAGGCAGCAGUGAGGAAUAUUGGUCAAUGGGCGCGAGCCUGAACCAGCCAAGUCGCGUGAGGGAUGACGGCCCUACGGGUUGUAAACCUCUUUUGUCGGGGAGCAAAUUCCGCCACGCGUGGCGGAGUCGAGAGUACCCGAAGAAAAAGCAUCGGCUAACUCCGUGCCAGCAGCCGCGGUAAUACGGAGGAUGCGAGCGUUAUCCGGAUUUAUUGGGUUUAAAGGGUGCGUAGGCGGACUGUCAAGUCAGCGGUAAAAUACGGGGGCUCAACCUCCGCCCGCCGUUGAAACUGACGGUCUUGAGUGGGCGAGAAGUAUGCGGAAUGCGUGGUGUAGCGGUGAAAUGCAUAGAUAUCACGCAGAACUCCGAUUGCGAAGGCAGCAUACCGGCGCCCAACUGACGCUGAAGCACGAAAGCGUGGGUAUCGAACAGGAUUAGAUACCCUGGUAGUCCACGCAGUAAACGAUGAAUACUAGCUGUCC